rnacentral:rRNA from 1 species
UACGUAGGGUCCGAGCGUUUGUCCGGAAUUACUGGGCGUAAAGAGCUCGUAGGUGGUUUGUCGCGUUGUUCGUGAAAACUCACAGCUCAACUGUGGGCGUGCGGGCGAUACGGGCAGACUAGAGUACUGCAGGGGAGACUGGAAUUCCUGGUGUAGCGGUGGAAUGCGCAGAUAUCGGGAAGAACACCCGUGGCGAAGGCGGCACUCUGGGACGGUACUGACGCUGAGACGCGAAAGCGUGGGAGCGAACGAGG